rnacentral:rRNA from 1 species
UACGGAGGGGGCUAGCGUUGCUCGGAAUUACUGGGCGUAAAGCGCACGUAGGCGGAUCUUUAAGUCAGGGGUGAAAUCCUGGAGCUCAACUCCAGAACUGCCUUUGAUACUGAGGACCUUGAGUUCGGGAGAGGUGAGUGGAACUGCGAGUGUAGAGGUGAAAUUCGUAGAUAUUCGCAAGAACACCAGUGGCGAAGGCGGACUCACUGGCCCGAUACUGACGCUGAGGUGC